rnacentral:lncRNA from 1 species
GGGGUGGAGCUAGAACUGGACACCUCGGGGGUUUCCUGCUUUAUGGCGAAGGACACAUAUACUCACAGAAAUGAGUUAUUUAAAGAAGACGGUCCAGAUUCCACAGUCCAAAAAAAAAAGAGGUUUGCCCUGCUUCUGAAGGAGUCAGGGUAUGAAUGCAGAGGUCUUCCUGUUGGCUCACAUAUCAGAUCUUCAACGUCAACAUUAAAUGCUGAAAGAACAUCAGUGUAUCAGCACAGCAAAUAUUCCAAAUGCCAGGCUGGAUUCCCUCCAAUUACCAGGACCUCCAGGCUUCUCCUCCUUUCAAGAACUUUCUGACCCUGGAUCCAGUCUAAAUGUUGGUUAUAAACUCACCUGACAUCCACAGGGCCCUUCCAAAAUACUGUCAAGGCUGACUGCUGGUGCCUGGAACCUGCACACCCUCCUGGGACUCUGCAUCUCUGCUGGGGCUGGUUUCUCCUCUGAGCCACCUUAAGGAAUCCCACCCUGACCCGGUCAGAGCUCACCAUGCCUCCCUCUCCUACUUGCUCAGCAUUUUGUGUCUAUCUAGACUGAAGCCUUUGCUUUCUCUCUGUGAUUAUGGUGAAAGUUCAGUUUGCUUUCCUAUCUCUAGAAUGUCAGCACGAAGGCAGAGGCAUGGUCUCCUGAGUUCCAUAACCCCAAAGCCUAACUCCCUGCCUGCCACACUGAGGGGCUUAGUAGACAUUGACUUACUAAAUUGAAUAGUUGAGUAAUAAUGCUCUUUGAAAUAAUUUGGAGUUAGAUCUUGAGCCUUGUGUGGCCAGAGGAUGGGUGAGGACACAUCAUAAAAACUAAAGGUAACUGAGCAUGCCAGUGGUUGGGGUGAGAAAUUUGCAUGGAGCACUCCAGACACAGAGGCAGCAAAACCCAAGUGCUGGGAAGUCAGAGUGAGAGAGUGAAGGGGCAGUGAGUGCUUCUUUAGGAGCUGGAUCAAAACCUAAGAUGAUCUGGCCACAUGGUGCAGACUGAGCACACACUUGGGAGAGAAAUGGGCCAGGAGGAGAGGAGAGAGGUUCACCACAGGACAGUGGAUGACUGGGAAUAGAAGCCCUCCCCAUGGUGGACCAAGAAGUCUGUGAAGCUGAGAGAAAGACAAAAGAAAUCACGACUUCUGUAGGUAGCUGGGAUGGAAACCUCAGGGGUGACAGGGUCUUUAAAGGAAAUCUCAAGGAAGGCAUCAUGUUCUGGGUGUGCUCCAGGGAUGCUGAGUAAGAAAAGACCAGCCUUUCUGUGUGUGUCUUUACUCUGCCACAAGGCACCUGGGCUCCUAAAUGACCAAUACACAUGUGCUAUACUGGUGCCAAGAAAGAAGGGUGUUUUGUAGGAAAGUCAAGGUGAGAGGAGGUGCCCAGGACUUGGCUCCUUUCUUUGAAGGGUGACGGUGUAAAUUCUCCAUGCUGGGGAUCCUACUGAUGGAUGGAGGCAUGUCGAUCUCAUCAUUUCACAGAGUGGGGAGCUAUGGCCACAACGUGCCUAUCACACAAGUCCAGCCUCACGUCAGCUGGACACCAGCUGUUCUGACACUUGUCAGCACAUGGGGCACCCGGAAGUUCAUGGUGUUCUGCAAAGAACGCCACAAAACAGUGAGCUCAACUUCUUGAAAGUCAUAAUGUGUUGCUAAGUCCGAUCCCAGAUCCUAAAAAUAAUAUGAGGUAGUGGCCAUUGAACAGAAAAAAUUUACAUCUUAAACUUGAAGAUAAGUACAAGUGUACCUUUUUCUACCACUGUUGUUCAGUUUUAUUAUAUUGACAAGCACCUCUGCCCACCCUGUGGGGUAAAACUGUUUGAAAGUGUUUAUGAAAGUUUUAUAUAAAUAUUGGUUGAUCAAAUGUACAAAAUAUGCAUGAUGGCACCAUAUUGUGUAUAAUAGUGACAAAUACAGUCUAUGUGGGUGGAGAAACAAGCUCGGUGUUGUGCAUGCGGCUGUGGUUUGUGUUCACACUUCUCCUUUAGAGUGUAGUAGACAGAACAUGCCUGAACUGCCUGGGGCUGAGGGGUCUCAGGCGCAGAGUGGCCCAGGAAUUCUGAGCAAGGACAGAAUGUUAGAGAGAAUAUCCUGAGCUGAGCAGAGAGGCCUGCCCAUGCUAGCUGGCAGCCACCUGCCUUCAGUGCUUCAUUCUUGGGGGACCUUGAGGCCAGUUCUUGAGUGGAUGAGUCCUGCCGCUACUGCUGCUGCCCACUUGGUAGCUCUGUCCUCAUCUGGGAAGAGCCACUGUGAACCCCAGAGACCUAGUGGUGCUAGGGGCUGAUGCAGGCAAAUGACUGGCUGCCCCUGGAUCUUAUGUGAAAACAAGAAUGCUGGACCAAAAGGUCUCUACAGGGCUCCAUGACUACCCAUGACCCGUAACUUCAGUGAGGAGCUAGUGGCCAGGAGGGGCUCAUGGUUGGACACUGGUAUUCCUCUACUCAGACCUUAAACCACAGGUUGCAAGAACAGGGAGGUCACAUGUCAGUGACCUCAUGCCUAAAUAGAUGCAUAGCACAGAGCAGAUUCCUGGAUAGCUUACACCCUACUUUCCCCAGUGCAUCGAUUAUGACUUCCUUUCUAGCAACUGUGAGUACAGCCGGGACUCAUCAAUCACACCUGUAACUUCCCAGCUGCAUUUCUCAGGGUCUCUGAAAGCAGGGCCUUCUCUGGUCUUUUUAAAUUACCCACAGACCUAGGACAGUCUUCUGCACAUACUUCUACAUUUUAAAGGCUUACUUUUAGUAUGUUUAUGUGUGUGAGAUGGGGAAUAUUGUAUUCAUGUGUGCAUGUAUAUGUCUGUGAGUACUGUGGUCUGUGUGUGUAACUGGGUAUGACUGUGUGUGUCAUAUGGAUACAGGGGACUAGAAUGAGGACAGCCAGGUGUCCAGGCUAUAAGAUCUAAGGAGGCACUUGCUCUCAGGGCCAACCCUGCCCUUGCGUGAGCCUGAGAGAGAGAGCCUCCUGGAAUUUUGCACCUUGAGUGCCUUCCUGCUUCACCCUAAUCCCCCCGGUUGUCUGUAUGUUUGGAUGUGAGUGUUGUACAUAUGCUGUGUAUGUGUGUGCAUGCAUGUGAGUGUGCAUGGGUGUGUGUCUGUAUGUCUCAGCAGCUGUCACUGGGCUUCCCAGUCCCUGUCAGCAGGCGAAGGAGGCCCCUUCAUUUCCUUGGGUCCUGCUUAUGCAGCACAGGCCACAGCAAAGGCUCCCUGGGUUGGGUCAGCCCUCACUCUAACUCAACAUGCCCUGGAAGUCACCACAGGGUCAUGGAAAGAGUCCUGGUGAUGAGAUGGAGUGUCUGCUCUGCCACAAGGGCUGUGGGACCAGGGUCGGGGCAUACCUCUCUGGGUCUCAGUUUCCUCACUGGUAAGAUGUGGCAACAGAAUCUCAUCUGUGAGCCCCCUCUAGCCUUGAACAACUCUGGAUCCAGGUAGACCAGCAUAAUGAAAGCCUAUGAAGCUUCUGAGAUGUGCGAGGCAUACAUUGUCCCAGGUACUCAAGUAACUCAAGUCUGGAAGCUGCGAGCCACAGAGAUCAAGCCUUCUCCAAAAAUUGGACUGCAAGGCAUGCCGUACAAACAGAGUGCUAGGAGACCUUGGGGAGGUGGGGAAGAGGAAGAGGAAUCAUGGACAGCUUCAUGGGGAGGUGGCUUUGGAGCUGGGAUGGGUGAGGACAGCUGGAAUGUGGGCAGCACGUGACCAAGUGCUUUGCAGACAUGGCAUGGCCCCCAGCCAGGCCCUGAGGAAAGGAGAGUCUCAGGACAGCAGCUAUGUCACUGUAAGCAGGACCCUUGAAAGCAGGUGCCACCUGCAAAAGGGGGAGCCCUGAGGCCCAGGCAGGCCUGUCACAGUGUGGGGCACCUGUCUAGACAGCCCCAUGGCCAGCAGUGGGGGUGGGCCAUGGGCCAUGGGGACCUUCCUGGUAUGGGGUACUGCCAUGUCCCCAGGGAAUAUGGGGGGCCCAGGAAGGUCCCCAAGGCUCGAAGGACCCAGGUCUUUUCAUACUGCCAAAGAGAUGUAAGGCCUACAGAGGGGAAAGUUUGCAUAUCUGUGAAGGCAUGGAGCCUAGGCAUUGGAAGUGUCCAGUAAGCAUUUUCAUUUGGCAGAAGUAUCUCCAUGGCACUUCUACCUACAGCCCUGCCACAUUUUGCCACAAACUGUCCAGCAGCCCUGAGAUGGAGCCCCAGUGUAGACCGUCAUGGAGCACACUGGCUCUGGAACAAUGAGGAGCAGACUGGAGAAAGCCAGAUGGGGUUUACCUGUCAACAGCCACAACAUAGUUGUGCUGGGGUGACUGUUCAAGAAAAAUGAACUUUGGUGCUCCUGCCGAAUGGGUUGUUAGUGUUCAGUCCUUUUCCUACCACUGAGUUGUUUUGUCUGAUCAUUCUUCCUCCUGGUUCUGCGGGUCUGCCUUCUUGAAAGGGAAGAGCAAGACUCCAGCUCCCUGCCCUGUAGAGGUGCCUUCUACCUUGCUCAGUGUUGAAGCAAAGGAGCAAAGCAAAGCUUAAGUCAGAGAUUUGGUGCUCAGCUAAUCACAGAGACUUUUAAAUGUCAACCAGGGUUUGCUAUCAGGCCAAAGCUGGAUUAUUAUUACCCAAAGUAGAAAAUUGUGAGACAGAGGCAGGUGGGGAGGGAGGGAGAGAGAAGAAAGCAGAAGGUGGAGGAUACGUGGAUUUAAUUUUUUAAAAAUAAAUAUAUGAUUCCGUGUCAAUUAAAAACAAGUACCCCAGGCAAGUCUUCCUGCAGUCCUGUCUUAGCCGCACACACAGCAUAACUGCAAACCCACUUGAGCUCAUUUUUGCUCAAAGACCAACUCUAUUAAACCCUUAGAAUGUUCUGGAUUUCAACACACAGUCCACAGACAGCCAUUCUAUCAAAAGCUUAGUGUUUUCCCUAUGACUGGGUUUUCUGGUAAGGUGAACUAAGGCAUCCUUUUCCAUUUCAGGCUGUGGUAACAGCAGAUAACAGCCGCAGAGGUCAUAGCCAGCACUUUCUAUGCGUCCCUUCAUUUAAUCCCAGUACUCCUAGGUGGUAGAUCUAUUAUUUUGUCCACAUGAAUUAUUGAAAAGUCUGUCCUAAAUUUUAAAUGGAACGAAGUACUGGGUUGCAAGUUACUGGUGGCUGUUUCACAGGAAAUACUACGACAAUGGGACUUUGGGAAUGUGUUCUGGAGACUCCACUCCUUGGUGACUACUACAUGGAGCACAGAAAAUUGUCUUGAGUGGCAGCUAUGUGCCAGGUGAGGAGACAGGUUUUACUCACAUGACUCCCCAGAAGCCCUGCAGCAUCCCCAUAUUUUAUAAAGGGGAAGUACAAGCCCAGAGAGACAUCUGACUUGACUAAGUUCACACAAAAACAGCAAGGUCUGGGCCAAGAUGGAAGCCCGGGCUUUGCCUUCUUCUUCUGCCUGCAGGGCAGGGGCUUUCAUCCUGGCUUCACGCUGAUUUCAAAAGCCUCUCAUUCUCUUGACACCUCAUGGCCCCUGAGUUUAUCCCAAGAAUAAUAAGUUCUACUGUCCUCCUGGAGAUGCCGAAGAAUCAAAACUGCAACACACAGAGGGCCUGGGUGUGCGCGAACACUGUAGUACACACCGAUGACAGCAGAUUAAGCCAUUUCUCUCUUAGGUGCGUCACCCAACCAGCUCCUGGACCCUUCUGCUGUGCUGCCCUGACAGUCACAAUAUGUCCUAGUGGACUAAUUAGCACUAACUACCCAUGUCACCCCAAGGCCAUUUAAGAAGACAAAUAAAAAAGACAAAACCAAUGAGUAUUGUGGCUGAAGAUGACGAAAAAAAGUUAAAAGCAGGGAGGAAUGAAUUAUUUUUUCUUUCUCAAUCUCUCCCUCUGCUUAAACCAAAGAGAGGUUUUCAUCUGAGAGCCCGGGAGCUAAGCAGCUACUUUCUACAUGAAAAAGUGAAAACAUUAAAAUAAAAUCCCUUUCUUUCAAGCUAACGUUCUAAAACUGAACCUCUGCAGAGGCUCCAAAAGAGAAAUGCCUUGCUUUUAAGCCCCUGAGUGAGAGGGAUCCUGAGGAAGUGGCAGAGGGGAUGAACCUAAGCUUUGGGACAUAACAACCGGCACCUCCAGUGGCCACCACUCCUAGCUAUGCUGCCUGUGGAUGGGGCCCCCAGUGCUGGCCCCUAACAGCAUGGGGAAGCCUCCCCAGCCACUCUGAAGCUGUUCGCAUCACAUCCAAGAUGAACCUAGGCAGGGAGGCUGAGUGUGCUUGGGAGAUGCCAAGUUAGGGAAGUAAGUUCCCCAGGGUCCUUCAACUUGUGGUGCCUGAGGAUAGCUGCUUUUUUUCCAGUGCAGAUGGAGACACGGCAGCCUUGGGGGGAUGUGUGAAAGUAAGGCCUCCCUCCCUCUGCCUUUCCAAGUGGCUGAUCAUCUCCUUCCUUCUCAUAGCUACUUCUAGGAGAGGCAUCCAGGCAGGAACCACUUCUCCAUUUCACAGAUGGGAAGACUGAGAACCAUACUGGAAAGGGGUGUAUUUUAAUUAAACUGGAGAGUGGGGAACACUGAUGAGGAAAGCAAGCUGAUAGACGGAAGGCUCUGCCUGUCACUGCCAGCACGGGCACUUGGGCCUUCUUAUCAAGGGUUCUGAUGGGAGUUUCCACUAGGAUUCCAGGUGUCGAUCAUCUAGUAGCCGAGUUCUGAUGAGCUGGACUUUGGGUGGUUGAGGUAGGGAGCAGUGGAAAGGGGAAUUGGAGUCUUAUCAACCUCUUUGAACACCAGUUCCUUCCCCUCUCUUCUAUAAAAAUGUCGUAGCAAUACCUGCCUGGCAGAGUUGUGAGAAUUAAAUGAGAUGAUGAAUACAUCUGCUCUCAGCACCACACCACACCUGUGGCAGUCCUCAGAGAGAAGAAUCACAGCUUUCAUUCAUUGAGAGCUCACUAAGUGCCAGGUAUGCUCAGCUCUUGUGCAGACGUUCUUUUUCUUUGGAUGUAAAUGUGACAUGGGCAGAGCAGGAGGAGCUGUGAGGCUGGCUUGGCUGAGCCACAGGGAUUGCUGGCAUCUUAUAUGGCAUUCAGGACUAUGGAGGGUCCACGGGAAGAAACACAGAAACAGAACCCAAGUAUCCUUCGGGGACUCUUGGACUUUCUUCCCCUUGAUCUUAGACAUGCCUCAGUAAACAGAUGCUGGUUUCUAUCGAGACUCAUUCCUGGGGAAGGACCCCCACCAGCCAAGCAAGGUAAAGCCCAGACUCAGUUACAUGAAUUACAGGUUUAAGACAGAAGCCUUCCUAUGAAUAUUUUUCUGGCCAGUGGCUUAUAUAAGAGAAAUUUGCUCAUUGUAUUUCUAUCUGGCCAACGAAGGGGUCUAGAGGGGCUUUCAGCAACCCAAACAGUCUUGUCAGCCCUAACUCUGGACCUAAGGAAAUAAUUAUGAAUCCUCAAGAUCCAUUUAAAAGUGUCAUUACUGUAGAUAAACAAAGACGAGUGGAUGCUUCUUCCUACUCCACCUCACUGCAGAGAUUCCAUCCAUCCCAGGGUCACUGACCACUGACUGGAUGAACUAGGAUUGGUGUGGCAGAGUGGAGUUUUCAGGAGCCAAGAGACUCCUGGAUUGUCAUGCUCUGUACUCCUUCCCCACGAAAGGAAUGUCUAGAACUCCUGCUGAAAGUAGUCAUUGCCUGCAUUUCCUAGGCAGAAUGUGUUAGCUCCCUCCCCAGAAGAACCUGGGCGAAGAAGGUGUUCCAAUCUGCAUUUGGAAAGAAUCCCUCCCGCAAAGAACUCUACACCCUCUAAGAGAAGAUAACGUGAGGGCAUAUUCUCCUCUCUUAGAGGGUGUUUUCAAUACUAAAUUCUAUCUCUGAAGAGAAUGAGGACCCGAAGGGGGGCAGUGCACCA